GCCGCACCUGCGGCAUAUGGAGGUUCCCAGACUAGGGGUCCAAUCCCAGCCGCAUCUGCGACCUAUACCACAGCUCACGGCAACACCAGAUCUUUAACCCACUGAUCAAGGCCAGGGAUCGAACCCACACCCUCAUGGUUCCUAGUAAGAUUCGUUUCCGCCGCACCACAAUGGGAAUUCCAGAAAUAACAUUUCGAUGGCCACUGACAACAAUAGUAAAACCAAGAAGACCAAUCACAGCCACUAACAGUUGGGCUGAAACCCCCGUUAUGUGCUCCGUCCUGCACGUACACCCCCUUCUCCCAAGUCUUGGCCAGUGNNNNNNNNNNNNNNNNNNNNNNNNNNNNNNNNGAAUGGCCCAGCUGAGGGCCACACAACACACCAGAAUGACUGCAGAGUUGGGGACCCCCAAAGGGAUUCAGGCACUCAGGGUACUCCCUUCCCCUCAGAUUCUAGCCCCUGCCCCUCCUCCCCCUCCUGGCCCCUAACUAAGAAAGACAAUGAACAAUUACUUUAAUAAAUUAAGGAGUUUCCAUUGUGGCUCAGCAGUAACAAACCCAACCAGUAUCCAUGAGGAUGGGGAUUCCAUGAUGGAUGGGUUAAGGAUCCAGCAUUGCUGUGAGCUGUGGUGUAGGUCGCAGAGGCGGCUCAGAUCCUGAGUUGGUGUGGUUGUGGCUGGUGCUGGGGCUGGGACUGGCAGCUGCAGCUCCAAUUUGACCCCUAGCCUGGGAAGUUCCAUAUGCCGUACCUGUGGCCCUAAAAAGCAAAAUAAUAAUAGUAAUGCUGCACUCCUGUGAGGAGUAGAGGACACUUUCCCAGAUUCUCCCACCACCCCAUUUUGUUUUGUUUUGUUUUGUUUUGUUUUUUUGGCUGUACCUGUAGCAUGUGGAAGUUCCCUGGGCCAGGGAUUGAACCUGAGCCACAACAGUGACAAUGCCAGACCCUUAACCCACUGAGCCACCAGGGAACUCCUCCCCCUACCAUCCUGUUUUAAACAGAGGAUGGUCUUAUCUGAGGUGGUUCAGAGCCUGUGUUUUAUCAAGUGUUGGGAUAAUCUUCGGCAACUGCUUACAUGUGAACAGGGAGCAUCAACUGCCUGCCCCCUGCAGUGGUUGGGAGGAAUCGACCAGAGGAUGCUCAGCCUAGAGCUGGCACAAACCCACAGCCUGGUGAUAGAGAAGGAAGAGCAGGGCUUGGGGUGGGGUGGGGCAGAGCGGCUCAGCACAAGUUCAUGAACGUGGGAAGCAGGCCUGCAACUUCCUUCGGACUCUGACACAAGUAAUUUAAAAACCGUGUUCUAGACCCAUGUCAGUUUCUAGGAUCAUCUCCCACCCCAGAAUUGGAUAGACUGCCCCCAUUACUGGAGUCAGGGGAGGGAUAAAGGGGUGCUGAAACCUUGCCUCACUUCAGAAAUCACAGAUUCCAGAGGUCACCCCAGCCUGGGGUCAGGCAGCCGGAUCAAAUCCUAUCACCGGCUGGAAUCCUAGCCCCGCACCUAGGAAGGGACAAAGGAGCCUCCUUUCCUCCAGGGCACGCAGAGAGAAACAGUCCCAGAGAGGGGCAGGGCCUUCCCAAGGUCAUCCCCAGCACUAGGAGAACAGAGCUGGGGGGGACAGGCUGGCCAGGCGUCCAGACCUUAGACACACACACACCCCCACUGUCGCCCCGGCCCCCAGUCACUGCUUUCUGACACAGCAGGAAGGAGCAAGAACGAGACAAGACUAACGAGACUAACGACGCCAGGAUCAAAGUCCCCACUCAGAGAGGCACUAGGUGUCAGGCGGCGCAGGUCCCACGACACAGUCUCCCCCGCCCCUGCCUCCCCACAAGGUGAAGGAACCCAGGCCUUCUCAGGACCUCCUUCCACUGCCCUCACCUCCACCUCCCGGGCCAAAAGAGAAAGGAAGUUGCUAAAUACGUGUGGUCAUGAGGAAAUCCUGACCGUAGUAGGUGGUGAUCCAGAGCCAGAAGCGGGGCCCCUGACCCACAAGGCUCACCUGUUGGAGGCCAGCCGGCAGGGCAAGCAGCAAGGUGGGCACGAGGCCGAGGACCCAGGUGUCAGACAUCCUGGCAGGGGGGCCACUGAGCUUCCGUGU
ensembl:lncRNA